GGGCGUGUGGCUCAGUUGGUAGAGCGUUCGCUUAGCAUUUAUCUUCACGAUCUCACAUCAUGAGAUGAAGCAUAAAAAGUUGCGAAAGGUCCUGAGUUCGAUUCUUAGCUCGUCCA